GACGAACGCUGGCGGCGUGCUUAACACAUGCAAGUCGAACGGAAAGGCCCUGCUUUUGUGGGGUGCUCGAGUGGCGAACGGGUGAGUAACACGUGAGUAACCUGCCCUUGACUUUGGGAUAACUUCAGGAAACUGGGUCUAAUACCGGAUAGGAGCGCCUGCUGCAUGGUGGGGGUUGGAAAGUUUCGGUGGUUGGGGAUGGACUCGCGGCUUAUCAGCUUGUUGGUGGGGUAGUGGCUUACCAAGGCUUUGACGGGUAGCCGGCCUGAGAGGGUGACCGGCCACAUUGGGACUGAGAGAGGGCGCAGACUCCUACGGGAGGCAGCAGUGGGGAAUAUUGCACAGUGGGCGGAAGCCUGAUGCAGCAGCGCCGCGUGCGGGAUGACGGCCUUCGGGUUGUAAACCGCUUUCGCCUGUGACGAAGCGUGAGUGACGGUAAUGGGUAAAGAAGCACCGGCUAACUACGUG
rnacentral:rRNA from 1 species